ACUGGAAGGUGUAUCUAGGAUUA
rnacentral:rRNA from 1 species